rnacentral:sRNA from 1 species
CUUCGUCGAUUUGUUGCGGGCAGAUGAAAUGAAUAUGGCUGUCGAUGCCACCCGCUGUGACAAUCGAGCCUUCGCCUGCAAUCACUUCGGUGCCAGGACCAAUCACUAACGUCACGCCCGGUUGCACAUCAGGGUUACCGGCUUUGCCAAUGCCCGCGAUACGGCCAUUUUUAACCCCGAUAUCGGCUUUGACGAUGCCCCAGUGGUCGAUGAUCAGCGCAUUAGUGAUCACCAAAUCAAGGCAAUCACGGCUCAGUGCCUGCCCCUGACCUUGACCAUCGCGGAUG